rnacentral:rRNA from 1 species
GACGAACCGUACGAACGUUAUUCGGAAUCACUGGGCUUAAAGGGUGCGUAGGCUGCGCGGAAAGUUGGGUGUGAAAUCCCUCGACUCAACCGAGGAACUGCGCCCAAAACUGCCGUGCUCGAGGGAGACAGAGGUGAGCGGAACUUAGGGUGGAGCGGUGAAAUGCGUUGAUAUCCUAAGGAACACCGGUGGCGAAGGCGGCCCGCUGGGCAGUGGCUGACGCUGAGGCGCGACAGCGUGGGGAGCAAACAGG